GCCAAAUCAAGUGGGCUGAGAUCUUGGAUGACUGAGGGCCGGGAGUCGUCGUGCCAGUCUACCACGUGAGGGGACAUGGAUGAGGUGGACCCUUUCCCAGGCCAAAGUUGCUACAAGCAUCACUCCCCAAAGAGGAUAUUUGGGGAGGUGAAGGACUUCAGCGGGGUGAAGCGUCUCAAGGAGGAGAAGGACCUUGCCACGGAGAAACGCCUCGUGGUAGAGGAGCACCUCUUUGAGAUGCAGCGCCUUGCCAGGUUGGAGUGCCGCACAG